CCUCGAAUGCGGUGUCCUUCCCAAACCUUGUCACACUUUCUCUCCCCAAAACCCAAAACUCCCAGAAAAAGGUGAAAAGAAAAACUAUCUCUCGGGAAAAUGGCGAGUAUGGUAGUGCAGGCAGCUGGCGUCGACGCAGUGCGCAUUAUCUCCCUCAUUGUCAAAUCGGCGCGCAAUGCUAAAAUGCACCGGACGAACUGUGCGCAGAUCGCGGGGCACGUAAAGAUGAUCGGGAACCUGCUCGAGACGCUGAAAUCGACGGACGUGAGCCGGUUCCCUGCAACGCGAGAGCCGUUGGAUGGGCUGGAGGAGGCGCUGCGAAGGGCCCUUGAUCUGGUGGAGAGCUGCAGACACAGGAGCUAUCUCUAUCUCCUGGCCAUGGGAUGGAACGUCGUGUACCAAUUCCGUCAAGUCCAGAACGAGAUUGACCGCUACAUGAAGAUCCUGCCGUUGAUUUCGCUCGUCCAUGGAUAUCGGAUACAGGACAGUCCCUCACAUCUUCAAAGCCCAUUAGUUACAGAAGUCAGUUUUUCGAAUUUUCAGGAAGGUCUACAAGCCAUCGAAGAGGACCAUCGAGACUACACACUUGAUGAAGAGGACGUGGAGGCCCAAAACGUGUUACUGAAAUCCAACCAUACGAAGGAAGAUGCAGAUAUAUUAGAGAAGUCAUUGUCUCGCCGUUAUCCUAACCUAGCAUUUGAUGCAGCUCUUCAAGAGGAGAAUGAGAAGUUGCAGCUUGAAUUGCAAAGAUCACAAGUAAACAAUGACACUGAAAAGUGCGAUGUCAUUCAACAUCUUAUUGAGGUUACAAAGACUGUUGUCAACAAACUACCGGAAAAGAACCAGACCCAUCAUCCGCAAUUUUGCACGGGAUCAGGGGAGGGAUCUGCAGCACAAGUGAGCCAUGAGGCCCAUCAUGAAGUAUUAGCAAGGCAAGGAAAGUAUAGGUGGCAAACAGAUCUCUUUGACUGUUGCGAGGAGCCUUGUUUAUGCUUGAGGACCUGCAUCUAUCCAUGUGGCACUUUUGCAUCAAUAGCUAAUGUGGCUUCUAGAGGAAGUAUAUCUCAUGAACAUGCAUGCAAUGAUCUGAUGGCAUACUCUCUUGUAUUUGGUUGUUGUUGUUACACUUGUUGCAUGAGAAGGAGACUACGCGGACUUUUCAGCAUAAAGGGAGGUUCAUGUGAUGACUUCUUAAGUCACCUCAUGUGCUGCUGCUGUGCACUAGUCCAGGAGUGGCGUGAAAUCAAACUGAGGGGUUAUGAAGUAGCAAAUUUUACUGUCAUGCAGGUUACCAAGGAAAGAAAAUGAACCCUCCACCAUCCCAAAACAUGACGAAGCUUUGAAAUUUCAUCUGAUCCAUUAGCAGGACCAAGUGCAGGGAUCAGAUUGUCAAGGUUGCUCACCGGAGUUCUCUAUUCAUUAAUGGUAGGGCAUAUUGGAUGAAUGGUAUGGAUUGCUAAAAGAUAUGCCUCGCUUCUACAAAACGCUGGCCCAAACAGUAACACCAUACUCUAUGAUACUUCUUUCUUCAGUUUUUGCUCAGAUAUGUCGAACUUUCAAUAAAUUCUCAAAACCAAACAAAUAACUAGCUUUUGAAACUUGUUGAGUAGUUUUCUCAUUUUGAUUUUAUGAGUCAGUACCUCUAGGAUGGAAGUUUGAUCUAUCACAAACGACUAUGUAGUA